rnacentral:rRNA from 1 species
GACGAACGCUGGCGGCGUGCCUAAUACAUGCAAGUAGGACGCAGUUGCGAACGGGUGAGUAACGCGUAGGUAACUGCCUAUGAUAGGGGUAUAACUAUUGGAAACGAUAGCUAAUACCGCAUAUUAGUAGAUGGAGCUGCGUUGUAUUAGCUAGUUGGUAGGGUAAAGGCCUACCUAGGCGACGAUACAUAGCCGACCUGAGAGGGUGAUCGGCCACACUGGGACUGAGACACGGCCCAGACUCCUACGGGAGGCAGCAGUAGGGAAUCUUCGGCAAUGGGGGGAACCCUGACCGAGCAACGCCGCGUGAGUGAAGAAGGUUUUCGGAUCGUAAAGCUCUGUUGUUAAGGAAGCGGUACUUAACCAGAAAGGGACGGCUAACUACGUGCCAGCAGCCGCGGUAAUUC